GACGAACGCUGGCGGCGCGCCUAACACAUGCAAGUCGAGCGAUGAAAUUUUAACCGAUCUCUUCGGAGAGAAGAUAAAAUGGAUUAGCGGCGGACGGGUGAGUAACACGUGAGAAACCUGCCUUUCACAAGGGGAUAGCCUCGGGAAACCGGGAUUAAUACCCUAUGACACAUUUCCUUCGCAUGGAAGAAAUGUUAAAACUCCGGUGGUGAAAGAUGGUCUCGCGCCUGAUUAGCUAGUUGGUGGGGUAACGGCCCACCAAGGCCAUGAUCAGUAACCGGCCUGAGAGGGUGAACGGUCACAUUGGAACUGAGACGCGGUCCAAACUCCUACGGGAGGCAGCAGUGGGGAAUAUUGCACAAUGGAGGAAACUCUGAUGCAGCGACGCCGCGUGAGCGAUGAAGGCUUUCGAGUCGUAAAGCUCUGUCCUAUGGGAAGAUAAUGACGGUACCAUAGGAGGAAGCCCCGGCUAACUACGUG
rnacentral:rRNA from 1 species